UUUUUCAUGAUUGCUUUCAUUUUCAGUGGACUGACCAGAUGCAAGGUACGAUUGAACUGAAAGGAGAAGGGCAUUUUCAUCAAAGGCCUGCUAUUUGCAAAGUUUGUUGGCUUUGGUCUGCAACUACAACUUGCACAGGAUUAUACCAAUUUACAGGGUCCAAAGUGGCGGAAGAUUCUGCAGCUGUGGAAGCCAUCAGGUGGCUCGUGAGUGAUGAUCAAUCAAUUCGAAGAACCGCUUGCUUCGGCACUGUUAUUGCCCAACUAUGUAUAUACCACUAGCCACAAAGCCGUUUCAGUGAAUUUCUCUUCGACCAUUCACCUUUUGUAGGAAUGCUUUGCUCUGAAUAUUAUGUUGCAUCAAAAUUGCUGGAUGCUCUCUCAGACAACCUUGACUACUUUGUAUAAAUAUGCUGUACUUAAAGUAUUCUGU